rnacentral:rRNA from 1 species
UACGUAGGGGGCAAGCGUUGUCCGGAAUCAUUGGGCGUAAAGAGCGUGUAGGCGGCUUGGCAAGUCUGACGUGAAAUCCCGCGGCUCAACCGCGGUAGGUCGUUGGAAACUGCCUCGCUAGAGUCCGGAAGAGGAGAGCGGAAUUCCUGGUGUAGCGGUGGAAUGCGCAGAUAUCAGGAAGAACACCCGUGGCGAAGGCGGCUCUCUGGGACGGUACUGACGCUGAGACGCGAAAGCGUGGGGAGCGAACGGG